rnacentral:rRNA from 1 species
GUGCCGUCGGAGCGUCGCAUGGCGCGCUGACGAAAGGGUUAACGUGGAUCAGGAGGGUCGUCGCGGCCUAUCAGCUUGUUGGUGGGGUAACGGCCUACCAAGGCAUCGACGGGUAGCUGGUCUGAGAGGAUGAUCAGCCACACUGGGACUGAGACACGGCCCAGACUCCUACGGGAGGCAGCAGUGGGGAAUCUUGCGCAAUGGGCGAAAGCCUGACGCAGCAACGCCGCGUGCGGGAAGAAGGCCUUCGGGUUGUAAACCGCUUUCAGAAGGAACGAAACUGACGGUACUUUCAGAAGAAGGUGCGGCCAACUACGUGCCAGCAGCCGCGGUGACACGUAGGCACCAAGCGUUGUCCGGAUUUUAUUGGGCGUAAAGAGCUCGUAGGCGGUUCGGUAAGUCGGGUGUGA